rnacentral:rRNA from 1 species
GUGCCAGCAGCCGCGGUAAGACGAACCACACAAACGUUAUUCGGAAUUACUGGGCUUAAAGGGUGCGUAGGCGGCGUGGAAAGUUGGGUGUGAAAUCCCUCAGCUUAACUGAGGAACAGCGCCCAAAACUACCAUGCUCGAGGGAGAUAGAGGAAUGCGGAACUUAGGGUGGAGCGGUGAAAUGCGUUGAUAUCCUAGGGAACACCGGUGGCGAAAGCGGCAUUCUGGAUCUCUUCUGACGCUGAGGCACGAAAGCUAGGGUAGCAAACGGGAUUAGAAACCCUUGUAGUCC